UACGGAGGAUCCAAGCGUUAUCCGGAUUUAUUGGGUUUAAAGGGUGCGUAGGUGGCCUGUUAAGUCAGGGGUGAAAGACGGUAGCUCAACUAUCGCAGUGCCCUUGAUACUGAUGGGCUUGAAUAAACUAGAGGUAGGCGGAAUGUGACAAGUAGCGGUGAAAUGCAUAGAUAUGACACAGAACACCGAUUGCGAAGGCAGCUGACGAAACUGUAACUGACGCUGAGGCUCGAAAGCGUGGGGAUCAAACAGG
rnacentral:rRNA from 1 species